GUGCUCACUUCAGCAGCACAUAUACUAAAAUUGGAGCAAUACAGAGAAGAGUAGCGUAGCCCCUGUGCAAGGAUGACACACAAAUGUGUAAAGUGUUCCAUAUUUAA
rnacentral:snRNA from 1 species